rnacentral:lncRNA from 1 species
GAGUCAAAUUUUAAUCUUUAAUAAGCUUUCACGAUUAGGUGAAACAUGGAUGAUGACAAAGCCAAAUAUGGCUCCAGAUAAAUACUCAUUUCAAAAAGUCUAUGGGUGACAUCAAUUACAGUUGACUAAAUAGUUCCAGGAGAAAGCUGACGUUUUGACUUAUUUACAAAAGGGACAAAGGAUAUUCAGUUUUGUAAGCCUAAACCCAUGCUAAUUUAUAUCACCUCUAACCACCACUCCCUCGUCUCUUGCAGAAGGCUUUCAAAACGGUCCUGUUGGGCUGUCUCAGCGUUGCACUCCCACAUGCAGAAGCUGGAGGAGAAGGUGUAUGCAGGCAGGAGCUUUUCUGCUCU